GAAGCAGAGCAUGUAGAAAUGGCCCGACGGACUAAAGACACCCCAAUGGCCUUGCAAGGGGAAAACAAAGCGCCUGAGGUCUUCUUUAUCAAUCUAGUGCGAUCAUUUGAAGCAGAAAUGAUCUACUGCCGCACCAAAAUUGAAGAAGUUUCCCAGUGUAUGCAGGCGGCCAGUAACCCUUGUGAAACACUUGAUGACAUUGCCGAGGUUCUGCAGCGUGAGCAUGACACAUUGAAGGAAGUGGCUGCAAAAGUGUAUGCAAAACAUGGACAACUUGUAGAAAUCAGCCAACGUCUGAACACUCAAGCCAUGCCCAAUGAGCAUGCAUUCUUCCGACCACAGUCAAAAGAGGACUCCAAAACUCCUGCUUCAGCAGUUGUCCGACCAGUACUUGGAGGUAGUAGCAGUGGCUUGCAGGCUUUUCAGGAGCAACAACAGAGAGCCAAGGCUGUCACCCUUAGUGCUGCUCCACCUACAAUGCCAUUAACACAGACCACCAAUCCUUCCAUGUUUGGCAGUAACACCAACUCUUCAAGUAUUUUCUCAACUGGGGGAACAUCCUUUGGCACGAGUAAUUUCAACCUAGGAGGCACAGCAGGCAACACUUCUUUUGGCACAAAAUCCCUACCGGUAUUUGGAAACCCAUCAGGUUUUGGUACCAACACUUCUGGGGCCCUACAGUUUAGUAUGCCAUUUUCCAUCAAUUCACCUUUUAGCUCCAAGCCAUUUGGCUCGUGAGUCCUCCCGGGGGUCAGAAGCACACGACUGAUGUACGCUUGAAAGGAUGAUCGGAAACAGGAGAUGAUGAUGCAGAAGGACGACGCAAGAGGCGGCUGUAACAUUGGGCACGUGGUUUUAAUAAAUGCUCAAAUGAUGUUUAACUCUUGAACUGCAACUAUGAAAAACCCUGGCAACUGUUUUGCCUAAAAAUCAUGAGAAAAGAAAACUCCUAAAAAUAAAGUUAUGGGGGGGUGACGUGGGCUACUAAAUGACGAUGAACAUACAUCUUCCAUGAUGACUGAAAGGCACCUGAGAGACCUAAUAGUUGUGGGUUGUGAGAAGGCCUAUUGGGACAUGUAAUGUGCUUUAUGAAUGCUAAUCUUGGUGUACAAUUUCAAAACAGUGGCACAAAAUCUUUUUAUCACAAGAUGCGUGUUGCAAUUUGAGGAUUACUGUAAUUAGAAAAACAGAAUAGGAUGGAUAGGUGUACAUUUUAAAGGUCACUAAUAUUCAUUCAUGUCAUCAAAUCUAGUAACAUAAGGUUUGCUCUAGUACAUUAUUAUGCAUAAUGCUUUGGAUUUGUUAUCAUUUGGAAAUCCCACUUGUCUUAUGUAAACUGCAUUAAGUCAUAGUUAUUAUAGUAACUAAUAAAUAUCUUAAGCACUUGUAUGAAACUUUGUUUAUCAAAUAAACUGUUUUCUGUA